AUUGAACGCUGGCGGCAGGCCUAAUACAUGCAAGUCGAGCGGAGCGGCGGAAGGGUGAGUAAUGCCUAGGAAUCUGCCUGGUAGUGGGGGAUACCGUCCGGAAACGGGCGAUAAUACCGCAUACUAUCAGAUGAGCCUAGGUCGGAUUAGCUAGAUGGUGGGGUAUAGGCCUACCAAGGCGACGAUCCGUAACUGGUCUGAGAGGAUGAUCGUGCACACUGGAACUGAGACACGGUCCAGACUCCUACGGGAGGCAGCAGUGGGGAAUAUUGGACAAUGGACGAAAGCCUGAUCCAGCCAUGCCGCGUGUGUGAAGAAGGUUUUCGGAUUGUAAAGCACUUUAAGUUGGGAGGCGUUACCAACAGAAUAAGCACCGGCUAACUUCGUGCCAGCAGCCGCGGUAAUUC
rnacentral:rRNA from 1 species